AGAGUUUGAUCCUGGCUCAGGAUGAACGCUGGCGGUAUGCUUUACACAUGCAAGUCAUACGGAAUUUAGCUUCGGCUAUAUUCAGUGGCGGACGGGUGAGUAACACGUGAGAAUUCGCCUUUAGGAGGAGGAUAACAGGGGGAAACACCUGCUAAAACUCCAUAUGCCUUCGGGUCAAACAGAGAAAUCUGCCUAAAGAGAAGCUCGCGGCUGAUUAGCUAGUUGGUGGGGUAAAGGCCUACCAAGGCGACGAUCAGUAGCUGGUCUGAGAGGACGAUCAGCCACACUGGAACUGAGACACGGUCCAGACUCCUACGGGAGGCAGCAGUGAGGAAUUUUCUGCAAUGGGCGAAAGCCUGACAGAGCAAUACCGCGUGAGGGAAGAAGGCUUACUGAGUUGUAAACCUCUGUUACCUAAGGAGGAAGAUCUGACGUUACUUAGGAGACGAAGCAUCGGCUAACUCCGUGCCAGCAGCCGCGGUAAGACGGAGGAUGCAAGUGUUAUCCGGAAUUACUGGGCGUAAAGCGUCUGCAGGUGGUUUCUUAAGUCCACUGUUAAACCUUGAGGCUCAACCUCAAUUCAGUAUUGGAAACUGGGAAACUUGAGUAUAGUAGGGGUAGAGGGAAUUUCCAGUGGAGCGGUGAAAUGCGUAGAUAUUGGAAAGAACACCGAUGGCGAAGGCACUCUACUGGGCUAUUACUGACACUCAGAGACGAAAGCUAGGGGAGCAAAAUGGGAUUAGAUACCCCCAGUAGUCCUAGCCGUAAACGAUGGAUACUCGAUGUUGGGCGUAUCGACC
rnacentral:rRNA from 1 species